GACGAACGCUGGCGGCGUGCUUAACACAUGCAAGUCGAACGCUGAAGACCUGGCUUUUGUUGGGUUGGAUGAGUGGCGAACGGGUGAGUAACACGUGAGUAACCUGCCCCCUUCUUUGGGAUAACGCCCGGAAACGGGUGCUAAUACUGGAUAUUCACUGAUCUUCGCAUGGGGGUUGGUGGAAAGGUUUUUUCUGGUGGGGGAUGGGCUCGCGGCCUAUCAGCUUGUUGGUGGGGUGAUGGCCUACCAAGGCUUUGACGGGUAGCCGGCCUGAGAGGGUGACCGGUCACAUUGGGACUGAGAUACGGCCCAGACUCCUACGGGAGGCAGCAGUGGGGAAUAUUGCACAAUGGGCGAAAGCCUGAUGCAGCGACGCCGCGUGAGGGAUGGAGGCCUUCGGGUUGUAAACCUCUUUCGCUCAUGGUCAAGCCGCAACUUGGGUUGUGGUGAGGGUAGUGGGUAAAGAAGCGCCGGCUAACUACGUGCCAGCAGCCGCGGUAAUACGUAGGGCGCGAGCGUUGUCCGGAAUUAUUGGGCGUAAAAGGGCUUGUAGGCGGUUGGUCGCGUCUGCCGUGAAAUCCUCUGGCUUAACUGGGGGGCGUGCGGUGGGUACGGGCUGACUUGAGUGCGGUAGGGGAGACUGGAACUCCUGGUGUAGCGGUGGAAUGCGCAGAUAUCAGGAAGAACACCCGGUGGCGAAGGCGGGGUCUCUGGGCCGUUUACUGACGCUGAGGAGCGAAAGCGUGGGGGAGCGAACAGG
rnacentral:rRNA from 1 species